CUUUAACCUCUGAUCUUUGUCUAAGGUUAAGUUUAACAUCUGUUCAUAACAGUUAAAUAUCUUUCACAUCCUCAACUUGAAGAUGUCAUAUUAAGCAGACUUUUGGGGCCAAAACAUGGGUUAGAAAUUUUCCUGCCUAUCCUAUUCAUCUGUCAGUUAUUGCAGUGUCUCUAGAAGCAGCACACCAC
rnacentral:snRNA from 1 species